GGGUCCCGCCGGGGCUGGAGCCCCCCGCUCCCGCUUUCCUUGGAGCCUGCCACCUCCAGCCGCACCUGGAAAUUAUACAUGCAUACCUGCCCAUAUACGCACGUACUUUAUAUAUGCGGUAUACUUCCGUGUAUUUUAACAUGGUUUAAUCUGUUAUGGAUUUUGUAUGGUGUAUAUUUAUCUCUGUAUUUUAGCUAUUUUUAUUAUUUGUAUAUGUUAAACUAAACACCCCGGUUUAGGUGCUGGGUAGUACAAGUCGCAAGUUGCCUCUUUCUGAGUGAACGGCAUGUGGGUAGGAUUAAAUACAUCAAAUGCUUUAAAUGGACCAAAGCCAGCUCCUACGGGAGGGUGGCUGCAGGAAAUGCCACGAAGUUCCCUGUUAUCUGCUGCCUUAUCUCUUUCUGCCCACCUGGUAGCUGUUGCUGGAAUUUUAACCUUUCAGGGGGACUCUUCACCCAGGGCAAGUGUGCCUGUUGCCUGUUGGGAUCAAUCUUGUAGAAUGCAGGCUGAGAGGCUGAGUCAAACUGUUGAAGGCAUGCUGACAUUGAACUUAUGGAAUGUCUUGAACUGAUUUUGACCAAACUGCUUUUUUUUUUUUUUUUAAUAGUAUGAAGUCGGUUAUGUUUUCUCACAAAAGGAAGACCAGAGUUUGCAUUGGGAACUCCUAACAGGAGAGUACAGAGUUGGGACGACAGAACAUGGGACAGAAACUAAAAAAUACCCCAGAUACUUCCACUUCAUUUUCUAAGAACAGCCUGAAAAGAGAGCCUCAGGAAAGAAGCAGGCUACUACUGUUUCCUAUUUAAUGCCUCUUUCUGCCAGUAGCAGAAAAGCAACUGCGGUAAUUUUGCCCAGUGGAGAGAUAAUUAGAGCUGGAAUGCAAUUGUGAGAGAGCAGUUUUCAACAACAGCAAUCCAUCUCUGCCCAGGUCUCCAAAUGCAGCAAGGGGGAUAUUGCCAGAAGAGUAUUUGCUGUAAUGUCAGGUCUGUGGCAUUAGGCAUAGAAGAAAGCAUGCCAAGAGCAGUACAUUUGACUAUUAUCAACUGAAAUGUGCUAAAGGAUUAAAACAGCCAGGUCAGAUGAGCCUCAAAGCCUGGUAUUUGCUUUUGGAUAACCAUCAGAGGCAGAUACAUGAGGGAGGGAACUCCUACCUACCUCUUUUUCCACUUGCAAUAGCACAUGGAUGUACGUCUCAGGGAUUUCCUUCCGCUGCCAGGCGACUCAUAGGCUGUUCCCUGCAGACAGUCGAACUUUUCCUUUACCUAACCUAAGUAAAAAUACUAUUCUUAAAGCUUGGUAGAAAGCUGUUUCCUUAAUAAUAUAUUUUCAGCAAGCAUUCUGUAAUUUAGUCUUCUCUGUAGCUCUGUAAUUCUUGAUUUUGUAAACUUAUUUUAUGAGUUUCUCAUUGUGUUGUGAAAGUGUCUCUUCCUUAGAAAUUUUCAGAGAACAUUUUUGUGCUGAUCACUGUUCUGUGGUCUUGCUGAUGUAUGUAGUUGCAUCUGCAGAGCGAAAAAAAAGCAAGUUUCAACUGUUCCUCAUCUAAAAGUCUCUAAGCCUUCAGUUACUGUUUUCUCAUUUUGGGGUUUUGUUUACUUUUUUUAUAUGAAUGUCCAUGUGACUUUUCAGAAGUACAAAAUAUACUUACAUGCUCCAGUGAAAGCUGCUCAUUAAUGGCUUAGAAACCCCGUUUGAUAAUCUAGGACAAAGCAUAGCAUUCAAAGGAAGGAGGAACUGGAAUUUACACAAUAGCAUUAGAAUACUUCUAUUGCUUUUUACAGUUUCUUAUGGAAAAUCACUCAUUUAAUUGGUACUGUACAUAGAAUAAAUACUUUUGCACUGAUCUAUCUGUAAUAAUGGUUAAAUUUUGGGGAGGGUUUAAAGGAGAUCCGCAUUGUAUAAAUAGUUAGUCGGCACCAUACUACAUUGAAUUACACUGACUCAUCAGUAGUCAUGUUGUUCAAAAUUUAGUAAGCCCAGAACAAACAGCACUUGCUUAUGAGUUACCUACAGAUCAGGAGAUCCUGGUACUUAAAAUGUAGGAGUAUUAUUACUGAGACUCUGAGGCAUAGUUUCUAGAUGCCCAGGAACUUCUUUCCUGCAUAGCAUCUUUGUAAUACUGUAGAUUACUGUUCUUGCAUCCUUUUAUUUCUAUUGCACUUCGAUUCACUGUACAAUUUUUUUCUUUUUCUUUCAUUUAUACAUGUCAACAAGAUGGCUGCAUCCUUGUAUGUAAAAACUUCCUAAGGUGGGAUUUCAGAAAUUCUCAGUGUUUAACCAACUUUUUCUUGUCUGAGAAAUGAGCACUACUAUUGCACAUUUCUGUAGGAGCAGAGAGACCGUUUCUGAAUGUUGUAAAAAAAUCUGUCUUCUCCGAUUGUCACACAUGAAAAUUGUUCCCGGUUCCAGUCAAGAUUAUAGCCAAUCCAGGAUCAUCCCAUGUGUGUUUUCUAAGAUCAAUGUGCAGCUCACUGACCCAUUCUGGAAAAGGUUCUUUUUCUUCUAGAAUUGCUCUGCCUGGGAGCAAGCCUGUGUCCUUGUUAACCUGGGAGAUUUUCAGAUGGGACCAUGUUUUCAGGAGAGGUAAGUGACACCAAUAUGGAAAUGCUAUUGCAGCUGAAUAAUUCAACAAACUGCAGAGCUGUCAUGGUCAAAUCUUAUCUCCCCUCUUCUGUCAGCCAUCAGGCACAUGUCUGGAAAGAAUCCAGCCAUGUGCAGGGGCAAAACCCAGUGCCAUUGGCGGCAGCAGGAGACCUUCCUUACUAGGUGUUGUGAGUAAAACAUAAAUGGCAUUCCUACAUGGAAAAAUAAGGUCUUUCAAUGAAGUAGAAUUACUAUGGUGCAGUAAGUUCCACUCCAAUCUGUGUGUUUGGUUUGACUGUCUUUCUUUCUAAUAAUCUGCACUAUUUUGCAGUAGUAAGAAAACCAGUAAUGUUUAUUUGGGGAUUAUGACUUAAAAUAGUACUGUUGGUAGUAAGUGAAGAAAUAGAACUGAAAAUGUGGUGUUCUUCUAUAUAAGUGUUUGAUUGUGUGUGGAAGAAAAUGCCAAUUGUCAGAAGUGGGAUCAUAACAAUCACUAAACAAAUAACUUCCAAUUAUUUUGAAUGAGGAGGAAAGCUGAUGUCUGGUUCCCCUGACAUAUUUUUGGUUGAAUUCCUCAAAGCUUGUAACAAGGGAACUCGAAUUCCUACAGAUCUUAUAAAGAGUGUCAGAGUUCUUUGUAAUGUCAAACAUUACAGCCCUGGGCUGUAUUUGAAGUGAACAGGUUGAGCAGGUCGGUAGUACCCUGUGUUCAUGUUUCUCAUAAGCAAACAUUGCUUUGACAAGCUGCAUGUCACCAAAGAGCACUGAUGCACUUGACUAACGGCCCAUCGCUUUUGUGGCUUGGCAAGUUCUUUCCUUCUCUGUUGGUUGUUUGCCAGGUAGCUGCAAAGUUUUUUGGGGAUUUUUUGGUGAAAACUUCGGGGAUUGCUCAUUUUUCUUGCCUAAAUGAAGACUUGCAUCAUUUUUAAACAAGACUAAGAUGUGUAGUAAGACUCAAAUUUUAUUUCUUGAGUGCAUCAUAUGCGAGUACCAUGAAUUUCCUUGCCUUAAGCUAAAUCAGAGGUUUAGAGGAAAAAUUUUUACUUACCUUUAAAUUAUGUCCUGGUUUUCAGCUUUAUCUGCUUAAUUUCACGGUAAAUAAUGCUAUGGUCUUCUCUAGCCAACUUCCAGCAGACAACAACUUCCAGUCAUGUAGUCCUAGGUGAAAGAGUUCCUAAAUAUAACAGUUCUUGGGGAAUAUCUUGAUGCUGCAAGACACAUCUAAUGCUACAUGUCCUUCAAGUCAAAAUGGUUGCAGGCAUUUUAAUGCUGGAAUGGGAAUGUUGUGGCACCUGACAGUGAAACUAGAUUUUCACUAGGAGCACUUUGCUGCUGUGACUGCACUGUUAAAUGGCAUCAGGAAGCAAUUUGAUGAACUUUUCUCAUGGAAGGAAGGUAGCUGUUGCUUUGUCUCCGUCACAGCACAGUUUGCCUGGUGGGGUGAGUGGUGCCUGUUUUAGGGCUGCAUGAGACAGCAGCAUAGAGCUGUUGAGCAUAGAGCUGGUCAAGUUAGAAACACUGGUGGCCUUGGGUCUUUCACAAGCAGCAUGCUGUUAUCUGGCUUGUUUUGUGAGCAUCACCCAUGAGGACAACACAGUGUUUUGACAGGGAUCCCAUUUUGUCGUCAUUGUGUUUUGAAUUAUUGUUAGGGCUGUACUUCUAAAAAAAAAAACUGUCUGUUUUUAAAAAUUAAUUGACUGUAAGUUUCACUUGUGUUUAAGGAACUUCUUAGUUCCCAUUGAGCUUGCUUUCUAAGCAUGAAAGAUGAAAAUUCAAAGAAGUUAUAUGGUGAAGAAGAGUGAGGUAUUUCAGUUACCAGAGAAGAUGACAGAGCUGAAAAGAGAACACAGUGAGGAGCCUGAGUGUAUGCGAGGUACUGAAUGGUGUAAGUAUUUAUCUUUAUUGUUUACCAUUUUUAACAUAGUACAUUAGAUGUAGAUUGUGUUUUACAAAGCAUUCAAAAGGGGGGUUUUCCCUCCAAGGAACUUGCUCAAUGCCAAAGGAAACUGAAGUGUGUCAAUGUUUAUAAUCUCACACAUGAAUGCAUACCAACUCCAGCUCACCUCAGUAAAGAGGAUCUAUUUCACUCUUAAAUAAAAGCUCAUGUGUUGUUCCAUGAGACAUCUGUAAAUCUAACUGGUUUACCUUUGUCCACGCCCGAUGUUUUUGUGUCCAUAAUCUCAUAUCAGACUAUUAUCUCACUUGGUUUGACAUUUAGUCAUGCAUUCUCUUGUGUUCUUGUUCUUCUUUUCCUGGUGAUCGCCUUUGUGACUUUGUAAAUUACCUACACAUAAGCCAAGUCACUUAAUGAAAUUUUUAUGUUUUUUUCCCUGGAAAGCAGUGAUUUCUCUCUGUUGUGAGAACAGAAGUUGGGUGGUAUCAAUGGUAAAAGUAUCAUCACUCCAUUGUCGGAAUGAGACGUAAGGGUUCAGUACAUUCCUUUUGGGAGAUAACUUUUCAAUAGCACUUUAUAUGUGUUGGAAGUUUCUCUUAGGAGAUGGGUAACUGGAAAACCAAAAUGCAGAGUGCACCUUCAAUAAGUGUUGUUUGCUUUCAUAAAGGCUUUCUAGCGCAAGGAUCUUGUAGUGACACAAUGAAGCUGCUGUGGAGUUUGCCAUUUCAGUCAUACCAUUUUGUUGAGAAAACUGACUAUCACUACUCAGAAAGUGCCUUACACAUUGGGGAAUUUGAGUCUUUCUUCCUUUCAGGUUGAGUUCUAGCAAACUCCUUUAUUAUUCUAAACUGAAUUUGUGAAAGGGAACCUACUUACCAUAGCAUGAACUCUUUCUAAUUGCAUGCUAGCACACUAUUAUAGGGUUAAUAGAUUGUGCUGGGUCUGUAAUAGUCACUCUUUCCACACUGCUGUUCUUGAAGCAGAAGUGUCCUGGGGGCCAGGUUAGCUGUGAGGACUUUGGUGCCAUCACCAGAGGAUCUGAGUGGUCUAGGUCCAGCUAAUUUUUUCCUUCAGAUGGUCAGUUAGAUGGUCUGAUGCUUUUUUGUUUAGAUUGCUUAACCAGGAUGUGGGAGAUGUUGAAUCAUAUCCCUUCCUUAUUUAAAUAGAUUAUGAACCCAGAACUCCUACAGGAAGGUCUCCCAAUUCCCAAGAAGAAUAUUGGCCAAGAUGUUUUUCUAUUGCUCCUCUUAAAGUGAACCUUUUUAUUUUGUUUUUUGGUUUUUUUUGUCACAAAGAGAAGAUCAGGAGCCUGUGUGCCACCUUCGUGGAUUCCAAGGGAAGUUUGCUCAAAUAUGUAGUUCAAAAAAUUCAGACCUUGGGCAGAAAUAGAAAGUGAUUUCUAGGGACACUCUGGCCCCAGAGCUGUUGAGUAAGCCUGGGAGGAAAUGAAGGCCUCACUUCCUCCAUGGGCUGCUUUUUGGAAGGAAGAGCUGGUUUCUGUGGUGAAAUCGAGGAGGAUUGGGUGGCAAGUCCUCCCUGGCAAAGUGUCCUCGCUACGUGGGAGUCACACCUGCUUCCUGAGGGGAAAAAGCUCCUCUCCCUGGAGUUUCUUUUGUACUGGUGCAAGAGCUUCUCAAGAGCAAUACACCAGCUCUCACAUAUCCCUUCCAUGGCGGGGGCUCUGUCCGUGCCUGGCAGGGGAACACCACAGCUCUGCCCACUCAGGUCAGUCACUCCUUGCUGUGAAGUCCCCUGGUAUCACUCGCUGAAAAUGCAGAAUGUACUCAGUUUCCCCUGCUGAUGUUUAAAUUAUGUGCGAGACCAGAAGUUAAAAAUAAAAACCAGAAGCAGUCAAGCUGAACUGCUCUGAUAUGAAACCAUCCCCUUCCCCCCAGCCCUUCCCUAAAGCUGAUGCUGCACCCAGCCCUUCUCUACAGCUGCAGCUAUGUGUGACAAUGGCAGUUUUGGUGUGGAGAGAGGACUUAAAAAUCUCCCUUUGUACUUUAGCUCAGCAUCAUCAACCAUCACUCCCUACUGCUCUUGCUUAGAUUUUCAUUGUUACUCACAAAUGCUCAGAUACUGAGAUCUCUAUGGUCUACUUUUUUCUCAUACUCCUUGUCUGGACUUGUUAGUAUUUUGAAAGUGCCUAGACUUUCAAAAUGUUCCUAUGUGAAGGCAUCGCUUUAUUCCCUAUGAAUACAGAGCAAUUGGAGAGAGCAAAGGCCUUGGUCAGAAUUACAGGCAUUUUUAAGGAAGGGCAAAUUAAACUUUCGUGUUUCAUUUCCUACUAUUUUCAUUAUCUGUUUGCAAUAGUCUGUGCAAUUGUUCUUGUGGGAAGUUGCAUAUUUUAUACAAUUUGCAAAAUUACUACUUUCUAAAAUGUGACAUUCUACUAUUUUUUUUUAAGUCAUAAAGAAAGCUUCAUGGAGAAUCCUAUGCUGUUACCAACUGCAUGUUAAAUCUCCCAUUUAGCCUGGGUAGCACACAACUAUUUAAUGAAAUCUGCUGCUUUAGGACAUAAUGUUUAGCAUGUAGUUCGACAACUGUUAUAAGCUGGUACAGAAACAGAAUCAUACAUUAGUGUGAGGCCCCUGGACUUAUUUAUUAUUCAAAUUUAGUUUAAAGUUCUUUCAAUGAGCCCUGCUAACUCCUGGGAAGUGGGGACAUGCUACCAAACGGAUACAAAUGUGGGGAGGAUACUACCAAAAAAGAGUAUCACUGCCAGUCUGUAGUCUGACUUCUGCCACGAGUCACUUUUUCUCACCACUUCCCAUGUGUGUCAGCACUGGUGUUUGAGCCGUUAUGUCAGAUUCCGGUGGGGAUCUAGAUGGAAAAUAAGACACCAAAGGAAUUUUAUUAGUUUUCAUUAGGAUUCUGUCUGUGAUCUGAGUGACUCUCUGCCCGCCUGCCUGAACACUUGUGUCAGUAUGGUGGAGCAAGCUGCAAUGCCUGACUCAUGGGAGAGUAUCAAUAACAAAUUAAGAAAAAUCACUGUGGUUUUUUGUUGAGCGUGAAAAAUGUUAUGCCUCAUCUCAAAAGAGGUGUGUCACCUCUCACACCUCCAAAGCAGUGCACACUCUUGAAAACAGAUUAAAAAAGGAGAAAGUUUUAAGACAUUGAUAUAGUCAUCACUUUUUAUUAACAAACAAAUCUAGUAGCUAAAGUCAAUUUGAAUUCAUGAGGACUUUUGUCUCCCCACCUGCUUUCAACUCCAGACAGAAUUAAGGACUAAUUAUUAUUAUUAUUAUUAUUAUUAUUAUUAUUAUUAUUAUUAACAAUAACAACAACAACAAAAAAACAAAACCAAUAAUGUUUUAAACUGUUGUAACUCCAUUGAUUUUGGUAGAACUUCACUUGCCUGAUGAAAGAGCAAAGAGAGUCAUACAGCCACAUGACCACUGUCAGGGCAUGCUUUGCCAUCUGAAUGGGUAAGUCCACAGUUGUCAACUUUUUCUGCUAAGUAAUGUGAUGGGGUUGCAAGACCCUUCAGACAGCAAACUUCAAGAGCUGACAACCCCUGGAAACACAGCUUUUGAAAGGAGCAUUGGUGUGUGAACAUAUGGUUUACCCAGAGCUCCCAGUGCUCUUGGGUCUACAGAGAACAUCUGCAGAAUAAAAAGCCUGCAAACAGUCGGGAAAACAAAGCUGACUUUCCUGGCUUAUGAUGAAGAUGAAAAAAAUGGUUGGAAUGCUCCUUUAACAAUUCUAGAAUUCCAUUACUUUUUGUUCCAUGUUUCAUAUCUUCCCUAUGGUGUCCCUAUUGAGAAAUUUUUUGUAAAUAAUUUCAGGGAGUCAGUCACAGGAGUAAUAAAAAUAUCUGCUUCUCAGAAGAGUAAGAUCAGUGUCACAGAGAGGAAAAGUUGUUUUAAAACUUUUUCAAAGACAACAAAAAAUUACUGUAAGAGGGUGAACUCAAUAGCAACAUUUCUAUCGAAUUCAUUAUGAAACUGGCACUGUCUUAUAUGUGAAAGGAAAGACAAAGUGGGAAAUGGCUCCUACCUUCCUUCCUAAAGUCUGUAUAAUUUGUUCACUCUCUUCUGAGGCUGAGCUUCUUUUCAUCAGGCUUUGAGGAAAUUUUUAAAAGAAGUACCAUCAAAACCAAGGCUAGCAUAGUAAGAAAUAUACUAAAUUUUUUGAGAUACCACAAGGAGAAAAAUAAAUCAGAUGAUAUCAGAAAAGGAGAAAUUACUAGUUGCAAAUAUUAGAUGACAUCUGUUUGAAAUUCUUUGCUUGCCAUUGACGCAGGACACUUCUUUGCCAGGGGACAAAGUCACUCUUCCUGUUCUGCCACUUCUCCUUUCAAGUUGGUCCCUUAAACACUAGUAAUCUUGAUGUAGCCUGGAGUAACUCUUCUUCGAAUGUGAAGACUAAACUCUUCUUAGAAUGUGAAGAUUUCAAAGUACAUGAUGGGAUAAUUUAAUUCCAUAAUUCCAAAAUUAAGUCACAGGUUUUCUGUAGUAACAAGCUUUUUAUUUUGAAAUAGAUUUUCUGUGGCCACUUGCUAGAAGUUAUACUUAUUGUUAAAGAUUUUGAAAUAGAUUACUUUUUUUUAAUUUGCAAAAAAGGUUGUAACACUUCUAAUUUGUUCAGUAAAGGCCUUUCCCUGCAUAACUCCCCCUGACAUCUGUAGGACUCUGUAAUCCCACAGCCCUUUGAUACUUCUGAACUUUGCUCUUAGUUCCCUACUGAGCUGUAUGUUUUUUGUAUCCUCAACCCUCUUCCCUGCACCUAGGUUAAGCUUUACCAAAUGUGUUUUUCCCCAAAUCUCCUUUUGUCUAGGAUGUUCCUUUUUGUGGUAUUGCAUGUUAGUCUUCCUUUCAGUCUUAAAACAGCAUCACACGAAAAAGUAUAGACAAUUUUAGGCUUUGACCUGGACUGAAAAAGCUGUGGAGUAUAAGUUCCUCAGAUAGCCUCAGUCAAUAUUUAUUUUCCUGAUAAAGCACCGGUGAAGUCCUUUGGAACAGCUCAUGCACAUAUUUAGUCUACUUUCUCCUCUUUCCUAUUGUAUUUUCCACUUUUCCUUCUUGCUUCAGCAUUUGCAGCCUGUCAUUCUCUCCAAGAGUUUAACCUGAAGAACAAGGUCACAUGAAAAGCAUCCUUACACUACUGCAAGCCAAGGCUACUCUGCAGCUUUGCAAAGGAAAUAUCAGCAAGAGUUUUCAUCACCUUCAUCUUUUUCCCUUCAGUAAUCUGGAAUACUUUUAGCAAAUCAUAACUUAUUUACAUGAAAUAGAAAAUACUUAUUUUUAUCUGUGGAUGAUCUAAAAGAUCAGGAGUGGCAUGUCCAAGUUGUGGGAAAGCUGUGAUAGCUAUUCAGAUUUUUUGUCUUGACCACAAAGUGAAUUAGGAAUGAGAAUUUAGAAUGGGAUUUUUUGGUGCUGAAAUGGGGUAUAUGUCCUGAGGUAACUAUUUACAAAUAAAAUGGAUAUUAGGAGAUGUGCGAGUGAUCUGAUCCCUACAGGGGACCAUUGGCUCAUGAUGUCCCUUGCUCUGGAGCUUGGUGAUGAUGUUACACCUCAAACACAAAUGUCCAGGGAAGGGACUGCCAGCAUUGUCACAGGGCCUGGUUGGUACCAAGUGCUGCCACACAAAGCAGAUGAUCCAGAAGCCACAGGGACAGACUUUCUGAACCACAGCUCCUGACGUCUGUAAUGCCAUCCUCAGUGACACAGCUGUCCUCUUCCUGAUGUAAAAAAGGAACAUGAUUUCUUCAGCUAUGCCUGAUAUCCGCACUAUGGACAGUGUUGUGCCGCACUGUGGUAUAGUGAGAUGUACUGUAUGUCAGCUAUAAUGGAUAACAGGAAUGAGCCAAUGCCAGAGAUGUUUCCUUCUCUGGGAGGGGAGACCGUUCCCACUCCUUGGGUUCCAGCUUCCUCAGGCUGAUUCAAAGCAAAGCUGCUGAAAACUCCACGUGGUGUUUUACAGACUCAAACCAAGGGGAAGAAGCUCCUCUCCCUGCUGUGGGACCAAGAGCACAGUGAUCAACUCCUCUCUGCAGUGGGGAAGCUCUGGCAGGAGGAUGGUCUCCAAGGUCAAUUUUCGUGUUGGCUCUGAAAGGAGCCAGAGCAGGCCUUGGGCACCUCAUAUGGCCUGGAAUUGCUCCUGAUUGUUGAAGUAUCCCUGUUUGCAUAUAAAUUUCCCCAGCUCCUUUCAGUGUGUAAGCUUAUGUGCAGAGGAAGAGCUGCAAACAGGCGCUCAGGCCCGUGUCUCUGAGCCAGCCUGUGCACACCGCUGGUGGCUAUGGGGUCGCAGAGCAGCGGGACAGGUGAGGAUGGCUACUGGGCCUUUGUCCUCCAGCAAAGCUUUUUCAAGGAACGCUGUUUGGAGCCUUUAACUUCCGCACACGUUUCCCAGCACACAAGGAGCUGGCAGAUGUAAUUACCUUCCUCUCAGGCAGAACUUAGUGCAACAUGGCAGGAAUGUGUUAAAUGUUUCCUGAAAACAAAUGAGAACUUCAGAAGACUAAGCAAUAGAGCACCAGGAUCAAAAAACCAUGCAAUAUUCUGGCACAAAACAACACGUUUAGGCAUAGUAAAUAAUCUGUUUUACAUAAAUGAUGUAGUUCAUUCCCAUUACAAAGAACCUUUCACACAUGAACUGUGUAAUUUCUCUCUGCUGACGUAAGACUUUCCAGUCUUUUGCAUUGUAUUCAUUACUGUUAGUUUAUAGUAGACAGAUUUCAUUUUUGACAAGUCACGUGCUAUAGAUACAGUUUUUUCCUAAACAAAUAGUGGUACCCAUAAAAUUUAUCUUUUAGCUAAGUGUUUUUACCAUUGAGCUGCAACAGAAGUUGAGGUUAUUGUUGUUGGCAGUUUUCUCUCAUGUGAUGUUUUAGAUGUUUUUUAAUAAAGGUUUUGCAAAGGACUAAACAGAUGAAGGAGUUGGGUUUGGUUUAAAUUACUAGGAUGAAAUUUCAGAAUUAGGAUGCUUAUAGUAUGUUUUAAGCAGAGGAUCAGGGAUUUAAUUCACAGCUCUAUUUGAAUUUAGAAAGUGAAACUAUUUAAAUGUAGAAUAUCACAUUACAUCUUGCUUAAAAAUCUAUUUCUACAUGGAGAUUUUUAAAAUAUUACAGGAUAGAGUUUUGCCACCUCAAGAAGUGUUCAAUAAAAUUGAGGAGAUGCCAACAAAAUGCAUAUUGUUGACAUUCUCCAUAUUGCAAAACUAUUUUAGUUAUGGGUAUUGUAAAAGCAGUGCCGGUAAUUAUGUUGCUGGGAACUGUGAUUGAAAAGGAUAAUACAACUGGGAUAAUCAGACAUGCCUCAGCAAAGAAAGGGAUUAGAAGGAAACUGAAAUCUCUCCUACUGAUGGUAAAUUCCUCAUUCAUGAUUUCAUGUCUUCUCAUCAUUAUUUUUCCAGCUAGUAACUCCAGAAAUGAAACUGCAAAGCUAUCACAGCAUUGUGGAUCUCCAUAACCUAACAGAUAAGCUCUGACAAUAAAAAUAUAGUUGAAGAAAUUCCUGCCUUCACAGUUAUGGACAUAGUGCCAAUUAUUGCACAAAACUAUUGUGUCUUGUUGCAUGCUUUUGGGAUAAUCGUAAGUAAAUUUGGAUUUCAAUUGUUUCAUUAUCAGUCACAGCCAGCACAGCUUCAUGAGAAGAAAGUCCUUCUUAUCAAACCUAAUUUCCUUUAUGACAAGGUAACCCACCUGGUUGAUCAAAGGAAGCCAGUUGAUGUGAUCCUUUUGGAAUUCAGUAGAUCUUUCCAUACUUUUUCUCACAGGAUCCUUCUGGACAGAAUGUCCAGCACACAUCUGGAUAAACACAUCAUGCGAUGGGUGAGCAGCUGGCUCAUGGGUCGGGCCCAAAGGGUUGUAGGCAAUCAGGUGACAUCAGAUGGGGGACCUGUCACUAGCGGGGUUCCGCUGGCCUCAUCCUCAGCCCUGUGCUCUUCAGCAUCUUCAUUCAUGACCUGGAUGCAGGACUGCACAGAUGAUACAAAACUGGGGAGAGCUUGAAAGGGAGGGAGGCCCUGCAGAGAGGCCUCAACAAAUGAGAGGCCUGGGCAAUCACCAACCACAUGGAGUGCAACAAGGGAAGCACCGGAUCCUGCACCUGGGAUGGGGCAGUCCUGAAUGUAAGUACAGUCUGAGGAGUGAGAUGCUGGAGAGCAGUGUCAUGGAAAGGGACCUGGGGGUUGAUGGCAAGUGAAACAUGCCUCAGCAGUGCCCUGGCAGCCAAGUGUGGGGUGCAUGAGGCACAGCAUCAUCAAGCCAGGCAAGGGAGGGGAUUGUCCUGCUCUGCUGUGAACUGGGGUGGCUUCACCUCGAAUGCUGGGGGGUGUUUUGGGUACCACAACAAGAGAAAAAUAUGAAACUGUUAGAGAGGCAAAGGAGGGCCACAAGGAUGGUGAAGGGCCUUGAGGGGAAGCCAUAUGAGGAGCAGCUGAGGGCACUUGGUCUGUUCAGCCUGGAGGAGACGAGACUGAGGGGAAACCUCACCACAGUUACAAUUAACCUUAUGAGGGGAAGAGAGGGGCAGAUGCUGAUCUCUUCUCUGUGGUGACCAGGAACGAGGAAUGGCCCAAAGCUAAGUCAGGGGAGGUUUAGGAGGAAUAUUAGGAAAAAGUUCUUCACCUAGAGGGUGUUUGGGCACUGGAAUAGGCUCUCCAGGGAAGUGUUCACUUUGUCAGCACAAACCUGACAGAGUUACAGAAGCAUUUGAGCAAUAUGGUGUAAUUAUUGAGGAUGAUGCUGUGCAGGGUCAGGAUUUGAAAUCAGUGAAUCCUGUGGGUCCCUUCCAACUCAGCUGAUUCUGUGAUUAUCUUUCUGGCACUUCUGUUGUUCAAGAUGCAGUGAAUGUAUCAUUUUUUUUCCCCCAGAAAACUCCUGGAUUAUUGUGAAGCAAAGUGUACCUCUGAAUUUGGCAGGGACUGGUACAUGAAAGCACAGCUCUGGUAGCAAGUAUUCCUAGUUUCAGACCUCUUAGGUAAGGACAGUAACACACAUAUGAAGAAAAGCAAAGCUGGGCCCUUUAGUUUAAAAUAUGGGAAGAGGAGGUGACCCAGGCAGCCUUAAGUGGUUGGCUGCAAUAGUAUGCAAAGCUCUCAGCAAAAUUUGAAUGAAAGGCAAAUAGAGGUUGGUAGGUGGAGAGGAUGAAACAUGACUUUGCAAUGUUGGGUUGUGUCAGCCCAAUACACUCAUUGAAAAACUAUUUCCUACACAAAGGAAACAUGUUUCCUUCCUGGGAAUUUCAAUUAAGCCUUUUCAUGGAGUAUUGUGGGACGAAAGUGAGGAGGGAGCAGGGAAAAACAAGAAUUAGGUGUGCAUGGAGCUGGCUGAAAGGGAGAAAAUGCUUCUGAGUGUUAAUAAGCAGAUGAGGUGAGGACGGAAUUAAUGAGCUGGGUGCUCUAAUGGCAGCAAGUAUGCUUUAUGGAAAUAACUGUGGAAGGGAAGAAUCUGGUGUGUUGUCUAUGGUAAGUGUGCUGCUAAGGUGAUCUUAGAGUAGUCUAGUGAGGUAUAUCCAGCAGAAAAGGGAGACUCUUACUGCUCUAAUUCAAAGACAUUUGUGAGAUUUCACAUCAAUUUUGCAUAUGCUUCUGAUUGCUCUAUGUCAAACAUAGAGCAAUGAACUUUCAAACAUGAACUAUAACAGAAGGAUGCCAAUAGUGGUCAGAGGGAUGGAGGGCUUUGUGCUGAAAAGGAAGUGGGAAGUGGAUAUUGUGUUUAGUCUAGUGAAAGAAAGCCUCAGAAGGGACUAAAACUGCUUCUUAUUAGCAGUUUAAGUCCCAGAGAGGAUGCCAGCAAACUUAUGGGAUAAUCUCGUCUUGAACAGAAAUGUGUCUUUCAAGUAAGAAAGUGCUUCCUAGCCAUGGAACAAAUUUUCUAACCAGAAAUUUUUAUACAGUGGGACUGGUCAAGCACUGGCAAAAGUUCCCAGAGGCUGCUGAAUCUCCACCCUUGGAGAUGUGUUAAACUUGACUGGAUAAGACAUUUAGCAUCGAUCCUACUUCAAAACAGAUAUUUCAGUAAUGGCCUAGCUAGCCUCCAGAGGUGCCUCCUACUUGAAUGAUCCCAUGCUCCAUUAGAACAAAAAAGGUCCGCAGCACUUGAGUAAGAACUUAAAAGGCCAUAAUAUAGGUUCCAAAAGAUUCAGAGUUUUUUUACUGGAGAGCAGAGACUUGCCAAGUAAUAACAAAAAGAGGUGAUGAGAGCUGAAAAAGAAAUCUAUAUUUUCAAUAAGAAAGAGUACAGCUGAGGCAGACUUCAGAUAUAGAAAAGGACUGAGUGGAAAAGCAGAAUUAGGAUAUAGAAAAAGAGUGGAGGGAAAAGGAAAAACUCAAAAGAGAACUAAAGGGAAGAAGGAGAGAGACAAUGUUAGGACAUGCCCAGAUUUGCUAAAGAGUUCUGCGAAAUUGAAUUUGCUUGUAAGUUCAGCCUCUCCUAAAUAAUUUAGAAAGAGAAAUGAAGUGGGGAAGUUGAUUGGCCUGGCCUUUAUUUUGCAUUGUGGAAUUACAGAGCUUGCCAAGAUGGGGCUGUAGCCUAGACAGAGUCAGCAACAACAUUUUUACUCAGCUGUCUAUCCCUAACUCCUCAUCUUCCCCAGUAAGGCUCUAUGAGCCUGUAGGACCAUCUCUAGGAGAGAGAGGCAAUUGUUUCUUCAGACCCCUCUGUCCCUGAGACCAGCAGGAAAAAUCCAUUUCUUGUAUGUAAUUCAGUUUUUUACCAGAGUCAUUCCACUGAAAUAAAUGCAGGCAAUUUGGCUUUUAGUUCAUUAGACAUGCCGCUAACACAUGAACACAUGUGCAGGGACUGGGCUGAUACUUUUCUGAACUAAAUUGAAAUAUUAUAAUUUGAGGCCCAGGAAUUUUUUUUAUGACUUUUUUUUUGACAUUGAAGUAGCAGGCAAAAAAAAAAAAUACAAGGAGAAACAUAAGUAAUUUAAAAAAUAUUUUCAUGUGAAAGUCUAUCUUAUUCACUGCAUCUUUUUGUAUCUGAAAGGAAAAGUUUCAUGCUUUUGGAUUGAGCUACAACUGUUAUUUCUGAUGGUAAAGAGUUACUAAGGCCCAGCCUACCCUAAACUCUGGACCCAGAAUAUAAGUAUAAACCUUCAUUGACUCAUUAUGCAAUUCUCUUUGUACAGGCAAGAAAGUCUUGGCCUCUGUGAAGUGCAGAACAGCUGUACAUGCAAGAUUUGCAUGGUUCUACAUCCUCUCCCUGCAGCUUUUCUCUGAUUUUGCAUUGUUUCAGCCUUGCACUGCUUUCUAUUUCCUGGUACCCUGCAGUGUGCUGCCUCUCAGUGCCCAUCCUGGGGGCUGAGUGGCUCAGCAGGUUGCUGGCAGCACACACUGCUGCUCUCAGCCUGCGUUGGGAGCUCUGCACACAUCACCUGUAUGUGAGCAUGAGGUGGCAGAUGCCCUGCUCUCCCAACACAGCCAUGGGCAGGGACACAGUUCUGAGAAUUGAAACAAAAACCUCCCCAGGGAAAAAAAAAGAACACUCUAAUUGUUUGGAAGUGCUCUGUAUUCAAUGCCCAGAGGCAGACAACAGUGGAUGGACAGGAUUCUCCCCAGUGACUCAAGGACUUCCGUGGCUCAUUUGCUGAAGGAAGAUGUGUCAUGCUGGGGAAAGCAUCACGUCAUUCUGGGGGAAACAUCAACAGCCACUUUUGAAUGCUUGGCACCCGAGGAUGUGACAACAGAAAAAUGUGAUAGCUUGGCAAGAGAGGCCAAGUGAAAACUGAAACAUGUCUGUGCUUGAAUGGAAGAGGGAUUCUCACAUAUUUUCUUUCACUUCUCUUAUACUCAAGUUUCCCUUUUCCAUUAUAGUGAAAAAGGAGUAACUAUCUCAAAAGCAAUUACUUCAAUCAGCUGCAAAUAUAUGCUUCUGACAAUGUCUUUAUAUUGCACGCUUCCUGUCAGGACACUCUGUCUUUCUCACCACAGCUAUAGUGAGUAGAAUUGACACUCUGAGUAGCUGAAAAUUUGCUCUGCUGCCUCUUCUAAACUCUCUGGUCUAUGAAAAUCACCUCUUGAAUACAUCCUUGCUACUAUGCCUUCUAAUAUCUCCUUUCAGCUUUAGGAGCACUCAGUCUCUCAGUUGUUUGGAUCUAUCUCUUGCAGUGUGGUUUCUGUGCCUACUUCCUGUUUUGGAUCCCAAAGACUUUCCCUUAUCUGAUCCACCUUUUCUGGUGGACAAUCUGGCUGUGGCUUGACUGUCUCAGUGUAGGAUGCAAUGUUACUUGAAGGCAGUACUGCAGCACACCCAAAAAGCAGUGAAAAGAAAGCCGUACUAUCUCCAGGAUGCCAAGGACUCCUCCGCAGGAACUUGAAUCCAGUGCUGGACCAACGCCUACAAGGACCAGUGCCACCUCAGGAGAGGAAAAAGUGAAUAGGAAUGCCUGUCCCUUGACCAGAAACCAGAAGUACCUGCUGAGAAUGAAACAGAAAAGAUAAAAAGGCUGAAGAUGACUCACCAAAUAACUCACCCAAAGGUGUUCAGUGCCUCUUGAGAGCUGUGGCUAGAGAAUGUAACAUCGGGCCCCUAAAGAGAAAAUGCCAAGAGAAUACAGCAGUGACUGCUCACAGACCAAGGGCAAGAGCCAUUGCUCACAGCUUUCCAGGAUUGUGCAGGCUCCUCUCCCACUUCCUUUUUCUGUGAAGGAAACCAUGAUGAGCUUCCCCUGCGUGAAGAAACAGUGAUGCCUGGCUGACUCUAUGGCUGCUAGCUGUAGGGAUAUUACAAUAAUUAAUCA